AGCAGCUCUGGUCGUGGGCG
rnacentral:misc_RNA from 1 species